UACAGGCUUAACACAUGCAAGUCGAGGGGCAGCAUGACGAGAGCUUGCUCUUGUUGAUGGCGACCGGCGCACGGGUGCGUAACGCGUAUCCAACCUUCCCCCUGCCAGGGAACAGCCCGUUGAAAGACGGAUUAAUGCCCUAUGUUGUGCGAAGAUGGCAUCAGAUUUGCACGAAAGAUUUUAUCGGCAUGGGAUGGGGAUGCGUAGGAUUAGGUAGUCGGCGGGGUAACGGCCCACCGAGCCUUCGAUCCUUAGGGGUUCUGAGAGGAAGGUCCCCCACACUGGUACUGAGACACGGACCAGACUCCUACGGGAGGCAGCAGUGAGGAAUAUUGGUCAAUGGGCGGAAGCCUGAACCAGCCAAGUAGCGUGCAGGAUGACGGCCCUAUGGGUUAUAAACUGCUUUUAUAGGGGGAUAAAGUGAGGUAUGGAUACCUUUUUGCAUGUACCCUAUGAAUAAGGACCGGCUAAUUCCGUGCCAGCAGCCGCGGUAAUACGGAAGGUCCGGGCGUUAUCCGGAUUUAUUGGGUUUAAAGGGAGCGUAGGCUGGAUGUUAAGCGUGACGUGAAAUGCCGUGGCUCAACCAUGGCACUGCGUCGCGAACUGUCAUUCUUGAGUAUGCAGGAGGCAGGCGGAAUUCGUGGUGUAGCGGUGAAAUGCUUAGAUAUCACGAGGAACUCCGAUUGCGAAGGCAGCUUGCUGCUGCUUUACUGACGCUGAAGCUCGAAGGCGCGGUAUCGAACAGGAUUAGAUACCCUGGUAGUCCGCGCGUAACGAUGGAUGCCCCUGUUGCCAUUAUUGGUGAGCGCCAGCGAAGCNUAACAUCC
rnacentral:rRNA from 1 species